rnacentral:tRNA from 1 species
GCCAGCAUCGCCUAAUCCGGUAUGGCGUCGGUCUCGAAAACCGAUCCCUCUGGGAUUCCCGGUUCGAACGAAGUGAGAAACGGGUCGCGAAGUGAUUAGACUCGGUUCAAAUUCCGAUUUUCCGGGUGCUGGCG